rnacentral:misc_RNA from 1 species
UCGAAAUCAAAAACUGUUUAUUUACAUUAUCACCAUAAGAAAAUGAUUUCAGAAUCGGAGGGUGACAACAGUUGUGAGGAAGGACAAGACGUAGCAAGGAGGAGGCUGGAUGAAGCUUUGAUACAGAAGAAAAAACAGUUCCAGAAUUUAAGGAACAUUAAAGGAAGAACAAUAAAACGGCGAGAUACGGAUAAACAACAGAGACUUACUGCGUUCAAGGAGUCUUACAAAGGGAAAAAAGAGGUACCUCAAAGAAACAAGCCAUGGUCGGUUCUUGAGUGGCAAAACCAUUGGAAUUCCCUUGACCAAAGACAACAGGACAAUCUAGAUCGCAAGAAGUCUCACUGCCAUUUAAGUAUUGGUUCGAAGAUUAAUGAGAUGGCUGCAGAUUACAAUGCCUCAGUAAUUUGCUUAAUCCGUUACCCCAAUGGAACUCAACACACCAAGUAUGUGUUAGUAAGCGGAGGUGGAAUUAAAUAUUCCAAAUCAAGAGACGGUGUUCUAACUGAACAACUCUGGCAUAGAUAUUGGAACAAAAAACAAAAUAAACGACAACAGUUAUGUGAGGAGAAUGGCCUGUGGCUUGAGAGAGCCAGUAAAAGAAAAAGAAAAGAGAGAACAGUGGAAAGGACAGAGAAAGAGAAAAGUAUGCAAUCAGGAAACAGGAAACAGAGGAAGAGAGAAAGACAAUUUGAUAAUGAGAGCGUAGAGAGUGAAGAAGAAUACAAUGAAAGAUUGGACAGCGGAAUAGAGAAUCAGAACAUAGGAAAAUCACACAACGAGACAGUAGAAAGCGAAGAAGAUAACGACGAAAGAUUGGAAAGGGGGAUAUGGAAUCAGACAAUAGGACAAACACGUAAUGAGAGCGUAGAGAGCGAUGAAGAAAAUGAUGAAAGAUUAGACAGGGGAAUAUGGAAACAGACAACAGGCGACAAUGGGAAUAAUGAGAGAGUAGAGAGCGAUGAAGAAAACGAUGUAAGUUUGGACAGGGAAAAUAGGAGAAACAAGUAAUGUAGAAAGCGAAGAAGAAUACGACGGAAGAUGGGACAAAGGAAUAGGGAGCCAGAAAAUAAGACAAUCAGAUAACGAGAGCGUACGAAGCGAAGAAGAAAACUUUGAAAUAUGGGGGAAAUGGGGGAACAGGUAACAAAUAUAUACAAAAUAGAAUUCAAAUUUCAAAGAUUGUUUGUUACAACAUAACAAGGGUACAAAGCAAACAGACAAUGACACUUUAGAAAACGAAGAAGAAGACGAGGAAGGAAGGAGCAAAGGCAUGGGAAAACAG